rfam:Sorghum bicolor cultivar BTx623 chromosome 5, whole genome shotgun sequence.
UCGUAACACGAACCGGUGCUAAAGAGUCCUGCUCAACGGCUAAUGACAGGUGCUGUCGGGGCAGAGACCCUUUAGCACCGGUUCGUGUUACUAA